rnacentral:misc_RNA from 1 species
AAAAACAAGGUUUCCGUAGGUGAACCUGCGAAAGAUCAUUAACACGUAUCCAACGUUAAACCCCCUGUGAACUUUAAAGCUCCGGAAACUUUUCAAACAGCAAUCCCAGUAAAUCAUUGUUGAACAGUUUUGAUUUGGGACCUCUGGUUGAAGAGCGUACGUUGAGACGGUUGAGAUAGGGGCAUGGCUUUCCGAAUCAUUCAUCAAAUGAAAGCGUUGACGAAUGUGAAAGGAUAACUUCUCGGUCGCUGGCCCACACGGCCGGCGGACAUGCCUCAUGGGCGCAAGCCCUUAAUAACCCACUAACUUUAUUUCACCUGCGAACAACUGUUAACAAUGGAUAUCUUGGUUCUC